rnacentral:rRNA from 1 species
CAUACCACCCUUAAAGUGCCUGAUCUCAUCUGAUCUCAGAAGCUAAGCAGGGUCGGGCCUGGUUAGUACUUGGAUGGGAGGGCCUCCACAGUCUUGACCUGCCUCUCCCUACAUGGGUAUAAACUGAUA